rnacentral:rRNA from 1 species
UACGGAGGAUGCGAGCGUUAUCCGGAUUUAUUGGGUUUAAAGGGUGCGUAGGCGGAUUUGUAAGUCAGCGGUAAAAAUGCGGUGCUCAACGCCGUAUCGCCGUUGAAACUGCGGGUCUUGAGUGCACACAGGGGUGCCGGAAUUCAUGGUGUAGCGGUGAAAUGCUUAGAUAUCAUGAAGAACUCCGAUCGCGAAGGCAAGUGUCCGGGGUGCAACUGACGCUGAGGCUCGAAAGUGCGGGUAUCAAACAGG